UAUUCUCUCCUUGCAUAGUGCUCUGGAAUAUCUGCACAAGAUUUUACAUGCCACUUGUUCAUAGAAAGAGACGAGCUAUAGAGAACCUCUCCCUUGAAAGAACAUCAUGAAACAUCCUCAUGACUUUUAAGCACAUGAUGUCCUCACCAGAUUUUCUGACUCAGUCUUGGAAUCUGUGUUGUCUUUGUAUAUCAGUCUAAUUUAUUAUAUAAUUACAUGCCUGCACAUUAAGUAUACCUUUAUUUAGCAAUGAUUCAGCAGUUAUGUGGACUCUGUAGUGGGAAUACCUGUAGAGACAUGGAAAUAUUACUCAAGAAAUAUCUGCCACUCAUACCCAUUGUCUGUUCAAGUUCAUCAGUAUUGCUUCUAAAAGAAUGUCCCCAUUGCUUUCUGAGCUCUUUUCUUAUAUUUUGUGGGGAAUAAAAAUAUGAACAGUGACCACUUGUUCAGUAAUGGAAAACCACUAAUGAAAAACUCUCUUAUUAGUGAGGUAACAAAUACACCCUUUGUGUUUUCUUCAUUACAUUUGUGUAUCAACUUUUUAGUUAGCCUUUUUAGCUAAAGGCUGCUCAGAAAUGUUGCAAGGUAAGGAUACAGUUAAUCCUCGCUGUUUUUCAUAAAGUAACUAAGAAAGACAAAACAGAAUAUGAGGAUUUUCACUUCAUGUUAUUACAUUGUUAAUUACUUCUGUACAUCAAAAGUAACAUCGAUGUCUGGUAUCUACGAUGACAACCGUACCUGAGUAUAUGCUUUCCCCAGAGUUCAUGCAGCAAAAUUAAGGGCUAUGGGAAGACAGUUUACAGUGUAUAAAACUAGACCUAUAGUGGAAGAAUGAAUUUAAAAUGUAAAAAUGGCAUUUGUAAUUGGCUGCUUGAAAAUAAACGUCUGAAUCAAAUCCUACACUUUUAAAAAGUAGAAGAAAUUAAAACCCAAUGAUAAUCUUGCUGUAAAAGAUGCAUUCCCAUGGAUCAUGGAAAAAAUACCUAGGGUUUCUUUCAGAGUUUAAAAAGCGAUGAUAAUAAAAGCAUAACUAUAUGUGCAUUCAGCUGCCAGAGACCAAGGCGGGAGCACUAAAAUUGACAGAGCUCACAGAUACUAUUUUAUGAAAGAAAAAAGGUUAUUCUUCAAGUUCCAAGUCAUUUGGUGCAAGCUAGAGGAAUGAAAUUCAGCCUUCUUAAAAUCAUGUUAUAGAAAAUGUUGAUGUUGUCUUGUUAUUUCCCAUCAGGCUUCAGGGUUAAUUGUGUCAAAGCCAUAUUUAUAUUCUAUUACUUUAAAUAAGCCACAUUUAUAAAAUAGGAUUCAAGGUGCAAACCCUGUCACUAAUAUAGCUAGUGAAGAUGAAUCUGGUGGCUGAAUUUGUGUGACCUUUUUGAUGACGUUUUAUUUUUACAUAUAGGUACUCCAGGACUGGUGAAAAGAGUACAACAUAUUCCGCUGACAAAGGCUGAAGCCUCAGUUCUGCUCCUGCAUUUCCCUGGGUAUCAAGAACUUGUUAAGGAAGAGGAAAAUCUAAAAUGGCUGAAAGAUUUCUGCAGAUAAGGAAAAAAAUGCAGCUGCAGAGGAAAACAGAGACAACAAUAUUUGCACAUUCUUCCCCAUAACAGACUCUCAUUGCAACACUUGAAUCAGGCAUUGACUCAUCUGCGCAAAGCCUUUUACUGCAGGUGCCAUCCAUUUCAUGAGUCUCUUCAGAGGGCAUUGGGGGGAGCUGCACUGCAACAGGAAUGCCUCAGCCAGAUAGAGCAGACAGCAGCUGACUUUCAUAUGGGAAUGUCUUUUGGAUCAUACCCUUGGAUUACACCCAUGAAUGGAAAGGCAAUAGAUCCUACCCACUCCUAACCUCUCAUUCAAGGCGAAGAGGAAAUCUGUGCCAAAGAGAGCGAGCUGCACUAGAAGAGUGGUCUUCGCAGCUGUGUGCUGAAUGGAUGUGUAAAGAGGUAAUGCUUCAAUUGCAAGGCAGAGGAAAAGGGAACACUGUUUUCACAGCAGAUAUUUUCCAGCCCACUGAUGUAAAACCCCCUUGUUUCCUUAUUAGGGGAUACGACACAGACUCUUCCACACUUGGAGAGACUCUAGGCAAAGCAAAUGUUCACAUGCGUGCAAUGAAGCUGCAUCACAACAGCUGCAGGUUUAAGCAGUCCUUUCUGCUCUUGCAACAUAAUCAGGCCAAUAACUGUCUGACACUGCCACUGAACCAGGUUCCUGAGGUAUGAAAUACUAGAAUAGAAACAGGCUUGAUGGGGGACACACAUCUAAACAUAAGAAACCACACAGAUGGAAAUGCAGCUCCCAUGGUGGAGGCUGGCAUCCUGUCAAUCUGCUGCAGGUAUGCUUGCUCAACCAAACCGUAAGACUGAAAUAGAGUUCAUAGGAUUUUCUAGCACACAUCAAUCCCCUUAGUUUAGUCAGCAGGAUCAGAAGUGCCAGAG